CUGGCUGGCUGGCUGGCUGGCGGCCCAAUCGACGAGGUAUGCGUGACAUGCAAAUCGCAAUUUGCACAGGAGCUGGCGUAGGAGUGCGGCGGUUUCGAAAUCAAGAAUGGAAUGCCUUAAUAUCGGAACUGGGACAAGGGAUAUGCAAUGGAAAUAUGUUUAAUGAGAGCAGAAACAGUACUUCGGAAGAGUGCUGCCCAUCAAAAUUCGAAGGAGUGCAGCCCAGCAAUGCUAGGAAGAGUGCUGCCCAGAAACGCUAGGAAGAGUGCUGCCAAGGAAAACUGCGAAGAGUGCUGCCCAGAAACGCCAGGAAGUGUGCUGCCAAGGAAUACUGCGAAGAGUGCUGCCCAUUAGCUCAUGGAAGAGGGCUGCCAACAAUGGAACACCACUUCGACUGCAUCCUACAACUGAAAGCUUCUAUCGAAAGGUACUCUCGAAUGAUAGCCCCUCCAUUCGCCACCUUCCACUCCACUUCGGUCGAAUGAAGGUGAAUAACGUCCAUUGUUUCUGGCAUACAUUUGAUGAGUGAAAACUAUUUGUACGUCUCUGAAUCAAGCGGAUUUUGAUAAAGUUUUGAAAGUA